GGUCCCUGAAGCUUCGGCCGCCGGACAGACACCAUGAAGGCAGCGCGUCUUUUCCUCUUGUUGUUCAGCUUCUACCAGACGACUCUCCCAGCUCGAGUCUCUGUGACCAUCUCUCCCAGCAGAUCGCAGCAUUUUGAAUAUGAGAAAGUGUCGGUGGG